GCUAUGCGAGGUCUUGGUCCCUCGGGGCCAAACCGAACUGCUCAGUAACACGUAGUUAAUCUGCCCUCAGGUGGGGAAUAAUCUCGGGAAACUGAGAAUAAUACCCCAUAGGUGAAUAUGGCUGGAAGGCCUUUUCACUCAAAGUUUCGGCGCCUGAGGAUGGGACUGCGGCGGAUUAGCUUGUUGUCGGGAUAAUUGCCUGACAAGGCUAUAAUCCGUACGGGUCGUGAGAGCGAUAGCCCGGAGAUGCACUCUGAGACAUUAGUGCAGGUCCUACGGGGUGCAGCAAGCGCGAAACCUUCACAAUGGGUGCAAGCCUGAUGAGGGGAACCUGAGUGAUUCAGCAAAGCUGAAUCUUUUGCCAAGUCUAAACCGCUUGGCGAAUAAGCGGUGGGCAAGACGGUUGCCAGCCGCCGCGGUAAUAACCGCGCCGCAAGUGGUAGUCACGUUUAUUGGGCCUAAAGCGUCCGUAGCCGGCCAUGUAAGUCUUUGGUGAAAUCUGCCAGUAAACUGGCAGGCUUGCCGGGGAAACUGCCUGGCUUGGGACCGGGAGAGGCUGAGGGUACUUCAUGUGUAGGGGUUAAAUCCUUUAAUCCAUGAAGGACCACCUGUGGCGAAGGCGCUCAGCUAGAACGGGUCCGACGGUGAGGGACGAAAGCUUGGGGAGCGACUGGGAUUAGAUACCCCAUUAGUCCAAGCUGUAAACGAUGCCCGCUUGGUGUGGCGAGACCUUCGGGGUUUUGCUGUGCCGGAGCGAAGGUGUUAAGCGGGCCGCCUGGGGAGUACGUCCGCAAGGAUGAAACUU
rnacentral:rRNA from 1 species